rnacentral:rRNA from 1 species
UACGGGGGGGGCAAGCGUUGUUCGGAAUUACUGGGCGUAAAGGGCUCGUAGGUGGCCAACUAAGUCAGACGUGAAAUCCCUCGGCUUAACCGGGGAACUGCGUCUGAUACUGGAUGGCUUGAGUUUGGGAGAGGGACGCGGAAUUCCAGGUGUAGCGGUGAAAUGCGUAGAUAUCUGGAGGAACACCGGUGGCGAAGGCGCCACUCUGGGCCGGUACUGACGCUGAGGAGCGAAAGCGUGGGUAGCAAACAGG